rnacentral:rRNA from 1 species
GAUGAACGCUAGCGGCAGGCCUAAUACAUGCAAGUCGGACGGGAUCUAGAUCUAAGCUUGCUUAGAUUUAGUGAGAGUGGCGCACGGGUGCGUAACGCGUGAGCAACCUACCCAUAUCAGGGGGAUAGCCCGGAGAAAUCCGGAUUAACACCGCAUGACACAACGACUCGGCAUCGAGAUGUUGUUAAAUAUUUAUAGGAUAUGGAUGGGCUCGCGUGACAUUAGCUAGUUGGUAAGGUAACGGCUUACCAAGGCUACGAUGUCUAGGGGCUCUGAGAGGAGAAUCCCCCACACUGGUACUGAGACACGGACCAGACUCCUACGGGAGGCAGCAGUAAGGAAUAUUGGUCAAUGGAGGGAACUCUGAACCAGCCAUGCCGCGUGCAGGAUGACUGCCCUAUGGGUUGUAAACUGCUUUUGUCCAGGAAUAACCACCACUACGUGUAGUGGCUUGAAUGUACUGGAAGAAUAAGGAUCGGCUAACUCCGUGCCAGCAGCCGCGGUAAUACGGAGGAUCCGAGCGUUAUCCGGAUUUAUUGGGUUUAAAGGGUGCGUAGGCGGCUCAUUAAGUCAGGGGUGAAAUACGGCAGCUCAACUGUCGCAGUGCCCUUGAUACUGAUGAGCUUGAAUGUGGCUGAAGAUGGCGGAAUGAGACAAGUAGCGGUGAAAUGCAUAGAUAUGUCUCAGAACUCCGAUUGCGAAGGCAGCUGUCUAAGUCAUUGUUGACGCUGAUGCACGAAAGCGUGGGGAUCGAACAGGAUUAGAUACCCUGGUAGUCCACGCCCUAAACGAUGAUAACUCGAUGUUGGCGAUACACAGUCAGCGUCUUAGCGAAAGCGUUAAGUUAUCCACCUGGGGAGUACGCCCGCAAGGGUGAAACUCAAAGGAAUUGACGGGGGCCCGCACAAGCGGAGGAGCAUGUGGUUUAAUUCGAUGAUACGCGAGGAACCUUACCCGGGCUUGAAAGUUACUGAAUUAUCUAGAGAUAGAUAAGUCCUUCGGGACAGGAAACUAGGUGCUGCAUGGCUGUCGUCAGCUCGUGCCGUGAGGUGUUGGGUUAAGUCCCGCAACGAGCGCAACCCCUAUGUUUAGUUGCCAGCAUGUAAUGGUGGGGACUCUAAACAGACUGCCAGCGUAAGCUGUGAGGAAGGUGGGGACGACGUCAAGUCAUCAUGGCCCUUACGUCCGGGGCUACACACGUGCUACAAUGGAUGGUACAGCGGGCAGCUACCUGGUAACAGGAUGCUAAUCUCGAAAAGCCAUUCACAGUUCGGAUUGAGGUCUGCAACUCGACCUCAUGAAGUUGGAUUCGCUAGUAAUCGCGUAUCAGCAAUGACGCGGUGAAUACGUUCCCGGGCCU